rnacentral:rRNA from 1 species
AGUGAACGCUGGCGGCAGGCCUAACACAUGCAAGUCGAACGGCAGCACAGAGGAGCUUGCUCCUUGGGUGGCGAGUGGCGGACGGGUGAGGAAUACAUCGGAAUCUGCCUAUUUGUGGGGGAUAACGUAGGGAAACUUACGCUAAUACCGCAUACGACCUACGGGUGAAAGCGGAGGACCUUCGGGCUUCGCGCAGAUAGAUGAGCCGAUGUCGGAUUAGCUAGUUGGCGGGGUAAAGGCCCACCAAGGCGACGAUCCGUAGCUGGUCUGAGAGGAUGAUCAGCCACACUGGAACUGAGACACGGUCCAGACUCCUACGGGAGGCAGCAGUGGGGAAUAUUGGACAAUGGGCGCAAGCCUGAUCCAGCCAUGCCGCGUGGGUGAAGAAGGCCUUCGGGUUGUAAAGCCCUUUUGUUGGGAAAGAAAAGCAGCCGGUUAAUACCCGGUUGUUCUGACGGUACCCAAAGAAUAAGCACCGGCUAACUCUGUGCCAGCCGCCGCAGUAA